rnacentral:rRNA from 1 species
GAUGAACGCUAGCGGCAGGCCUAAUACAUGCAAGUCGGACGGUAUUCAGGAGCUUGCUUCUGAUGAGAGUGGCGCACGGGUGCGUAACACGUAUGUAACCUACCUUUAUCAGGGGGAUAGCCUCUCGAAAGAGAGAUUAAGCCCGCAUAAAAUCACAGCACAGCAUUGUGUAAUGAUCAAAUAUUUAUAGGAUAAAGAUGGGCAUGCGGAACAUUAGCUAGAUGGCGGGGUAACGGCCCACCAUGGCGACGAUGUUUAGGGGAUCUGAGAGGAUGGCACCCCAAACUGGUACUGAGACACGGACCAGACGCCUACGGGAGGCAGCAGUAGGGAAGAGUGGUCAGUGGGCGGAAGCCUGAACCAGCCAGGCCGCGUGGAGGAAGACGGCUCUAUGGGUUGUAAACUGCUUUUAGAAGGGAAUAAACCCAGAUACGUGUAUCUGGCUGAAGGUACUGUAAGAAUAAGGAUCGGCUAACUCCGUG